rnacentral:rRNA from 1 species
AUUGAACGCUGGCGGCAUGCCUUACACAUGCAAGUCGAACGGCAGCACGGGGGCAACCCUGGUGGCGAGUGGCGAACGGGUGAGUAACACAUCGGAACGUGCCCAGUAGUGGGGAUAGCUCGGCGAAAGCCGGAUUAAUACCGCAUACGACCUACGGGUGAAAGCGGGGGAUCGCAAGACCUCGCGCUAUUGGAGCGGCCGAUGUCAGAUUAGGUUGUUGGUGGGGUAAAGGCCACCAAGCCGACGAUCUGUAGCUGGUCUAGAAAGGACGACCAGCCACACUGGGACUGAGACACGGCCCAGACUCCGUACGGGAGGCAGCAGGUGGGGAAUUUUGGAACAAUGGGCGCAAGCCUGAUCCAGCCAUG